ACCACUGAGCCACCUUCCCAGCCCUUACAUACUUUUAAUAAGUAUUGUAGUUGGGGCUAGGAAGGUGGCUCAGUGGU
rnacentral:pre_miRNA from 1 species